rnacentral:lncRNA from 10 species
AAAUGGAAGAGCUACAAUUUUUUUGUUUUGUUUUUUGUUUUUUUUUUGAGACAGAGUUUUGCUCUUGUUGCCCAGGCUGGAGUGCAAUGGCACAAUCUCGGCUCACUGCGACCUCCAUCUCCCAGGUUCAAGCGAUACUCCUGCCUCAGCCUCCCAAGUAGCUUGGAUUACCGGUGCCCACCACCACGUCGAGCUAAUGUUUGUAUUUUUGGGACAGACAGGGUUUUACCAUGUUGUCCAGGCUGGUCUCGAUCUCCUGACCUCAGGUGAUCCACCUGCCUCGGCCUCCCAAAGUGCUGGGAUUACAGGUAUGAACCACAUGUGCCCAGCCCAAAAGCUACAAUUUUAUCCUCAACAGUCUGGUUCCCAAGUCUAUGCUCUUAAAAAGGUAACCCCCAUUCUCUCCCCUAAAAAGUCUCAACAGAGGGAGGAGUUGUCAACAAAUAUAUAGCAGAUCUUGCCCUAGAGUCUCCUGAAACAAAAGGUAGACUGAGUGUAAAUAAAGCUCUAGCCCAGUCCAGCCUAGCUCAAUUCCUGAUUGGACUGAGGUGAUCAGCCUGUUAUCCUAUCUGCCUAAGAGAGGGAAAGGACACUUCUCACUGGGCAAAGAUGACAUUGCUUCAUCCCUAUGGUUCUUUUUUAUACAAUGUCCAGAAUAUAAUAAAAAACUACAAGGCAAGGGAUGAGGCAGGAAAAUGUGGUGGAUAAGAGAGAAAAAGAGACAACAGAAGCAGACACAUGGAUGAUCAAAUCUGGAAGUCAGCAAACAGAAACUUUUAAAGUUAGAAGAAAAGAUGAGCAAAAAUGAGACAAAAGAUGGAGAAUUUCAACAGGGAAUUGGGAUCUACAAAAAAAUCACAUGGAUAUUUUACACUGGAAAAAAAUAUAUAAUAUCUGAAUUUUU